ACUGCUUUAUUGUAAUAUUUAUACAUCUUAAAUUCCAUUUCAACAAUGAUCUUUUAUACGUUUGUAAUGCUACUGCUUUUUAACUGUCAGUUGUUUCUGAUGUGGAGUAUAAUAAUAAUAAUUAUAUGUUUUCCAUUGUGUCCAUACUUUGGAGAGGUAGUCUGCUAAACCUCUCUCAGGUCACAAGAAGUGACUUGGUCCAAAAGGUUUUCUUUUCCUGAGACAACACUUCUUGGCAACCACUGGUGGUUCAUGGAGCACAGUUUGGGAACCACGACUAUAAUGACACAGGUACACAGCGGAAGCAUCCUUCUUGUGAAUGUCUCUGCAAAACUGGUAAGCUGUCCUGAGACAACUCUCCUUUGGUCUUUGAAGAACUGCUCAGCUUGAGCUAAGCAGGUGCAGAGACGGUUGGAAGAGAGAAGCAGAGAGAGAGACGCAGAGUUUGAAGUGUGCUCUUGCUUCAUGGACUGCAGAAGGAAUUUAUCCACAUGGACAAAGCAACGUGUAGUUCAAAUCUCUCAUGAAAGGACAUUAUAUGAGUUGGUGCAACUGAGCACAUCGUACAUAUGUUGUUAUGGAUUUAAGAAGAAUAAACCACUUGUUCCUUAUUGUUCA